rnacentral:rRNA from 1 species
UACAGAGGGUGCGAGCGUUGUCCGGAAUCACUGGGCGUAAAGGGCUCGUAGGCGGUUUGUCGCGUCGGGAGUGAAAUCCACUGGCUUAACUGGUGGCUUGCUUUCGAUACGGGCAGACUGGAGGUAUGCAGGGGAGAACGGAAUUCCUGGUGUAGCGGUGAAAUGCGCAGAUAUCAGGAGGAACACCGGUGGCGAAGGCGGCUCACUGGACCGGUACUGACGCUGAUGCGCGAAAGCGUGGGGAGCAAACAGG